AGAAGGCAGCAGCGGGGUUGCAGAGGGGCAGCAAACCCGGGAGGUGGGUCCCAGAGCCAGGAGAGGGGCAGGGCCUAGCACCCCCGGACGCUGCUCCCAAGCCAAGGGAGGAAGCUGAGGCCAGACGUGGGUGACACAGCUGUCACUGGAGCAGCCAGGGUUAGAGGGAGGGGAGACCCCAGGGGACACGAGGCAGCCAGGUCGGGAGAGAGCGGGCCUGUGCCCGCGGCAGUGCUGAAGGAAGAGAGGGCCCACCCCAGGCAGUAGCCGGGAGCUGGCGGGGGACUCGGGGCGGGGGGCCGUCUGACCUGCGGAGGUGAGGUCACCUUAGGACUCAGGAAGGGGAGCUUCAGGUAGGGGCUGGGAAAGUCGAGGUGGCAGGGCCAUUAGAGGAGGGUCCCGGAUUAGGGAGGGUGUCGCCCAGCAGAACUGGGUGGUGGGCGCGGAGGAUGGUGCUCGUGUGGGGACAAAAGACCGAGGGGCCGGCCCUGAAAGAUUAGAAAGGAAGAGAUGCUAAAACUGGGGUUUAAAAGGCGUGGUACCUGUUAAUGCCUGACUUUUCAUAAAUCACCGCUUUUGAGCACAAAAUGCAGUAAUUCCCAACAAGUGUUCCCUGUUACCUAGAGGGCGCCUGUCCCGCGCGUUCUGUGCAGCUGCAGCAGUCGUGGGGCGGGGGUUUACUUCUCUUUGCCGCGCUGGGGAGGCACCGCCCCGCCUCCACCCGGAGGGGCUCCGCGUACCCGCCCCCCAGCCCCCCCAGCUUGGCCGCUGUCGCUGGUAGCGGAGCAGACACUGUCGCGGCGGCACUUAGAAGCCUGCCCCCGGGCGUCCUUGGAGCAGCCCUGGGGACGCGCGAUUUCCAGGACACCGUGCAGUAAUCUCACAAGACACCCCGCGCGACACACGGCGACGCGCCACGUGUUCGUCUGCCUGGUGACGUGAAGGAGACAGACGCGGUCCGGCCAAGGUUAGAGGAGAGGUCCCGCUGACCCCGCCGCCACCCCACGGAGCACGGGCGCCCCAGAACUCGCCGCCCCCUUCCCCGAGGCCAGCUUGGGGCCAGGGGCACGGACGGGGCCAGUGAGUAGUGAGGCGCUGGCGGCACAGGGGACUCGGACAGGGUGACUGUCCCUAGGCUAGCCCGUGCGGCCUGGGCUUCUCAGUCCGCAGGAACCCUGCGCCCUCCUGGCCACCACGGGGUGGAGCCAGGCAGCAGCACAGCGGAGCCCGAAGCGGUCGGGGACCCACAGCGGAGCACGGUGGCUCGCCUGUCCUUCCUGCUCGGUUCCUCGUGGGAGCCAGACGUGGAGUCGUCCACGUCCUGAGCCAGCAGACCCCCUUUCUUCCUGUCACCCGAAUCUGGAGACAGCUCCUGUGGCACCAGAGUGAAACCCAGCAGAGGGUCUGGGCAGGGGCUGGGGGGUGGAGAGAGAGAAGGGCCAGCGGAGCCCGAGGGACCCUCUCUGACCAGCCCCUCCCCACCCUGUCUGGCUAGUUGCCCGCUCACAUUCCUACCAAGCAGGACAGCAGGCUGCAGCAGACACCCUGUCCAAGCCCACCCUGUUGCUGGGAGUAGUGAUGUGGACCCCUGACCCCCUCGGUGUGCACACCUGUCACCUCUGGCACUGCAGACCCUUGGGGGCAAGUUGGACAGAGGAGAUAGCUCGGCACUCCACAGGACAGGCUCCCAGCCGGGGUGCUGGGUGGGAAGGGGCCGUCCUCGCCUUCCGGCAGCCCAGGCCAGCCGGGUGGGGUGGGGGGGAGAUGAAAGGCUGUAACAGGUCCUCAGUUACCACCUCUCCCUUCACCGGGGACACAGACCCGCCCCUCCCCCAGACAUCUUGAAGCCGGGGGAGGUGUGAAUGGCCUCCUUUGUGCCUCUGAAUUGAAGGCAAUUAGGUGCUACUUAUCUGUGGGGGGCAUUUGGGUCCUCUUUGCAAACCCACCUCCCACCCACCCCGCUUCUCCUGAGCUUAUAAGUGCAGCCCAGCCCUGCCAAGACUGAGGCGGACCCUGUGCUCCUCCUGGCCCUCCUGCGCGGCCGGGGCACCCCGGUCCCAGCCCCCACCAUCUGUCCAGAGGCGGAUCCUGAGUGUGGCCGCACCACCCAACAAAGCCUCCCUCCUCCGCCUUUCCUGGUGCCUGCGAGCCAGCCUCCAGCUUUGGCUCAGGGGACCGGGUCUCCCAGAGAAGCUGUGCAGGGCCAGCGCACACCGCCAGGCCCGCCAAAGUCUCCCAGGGGAGCCUGUCUGUCCCAGCCCAGGUGUGCAGCAGAGGGGACCACCCCCAGACCGUGGGCAAGGAGGAGGUGAAGUCCUCAGGAGUGUGCGCCAGGGACGCCCACACCUGGGCUGGGGCUUGCGGGUUGUGCCGGACCCCUCCAGCCGGUGAACCCUUCUCGGAAGCAGAAACCACAGUGGCGGUCUUCCCUGCUCAGACCCCUUGGAACUUCUCUUCCCCGCCCCCCCCCCCGCCCUGGAGGGGCUGCCCCCACCCUCUCUGAGCCAGGAUGCCCACCUUACACUCGGUACACAUGGCCUUCAAGCUCUAAGUCCCUGGGGCCCACUUCUGCAAGAGGGUCACAGGUGAGUGCGUCUCGCAGGUCACGAAACUGCUCAUUUCGGAGGGCCCACCAUGGCUCCUCCUGCGAAGCCGGGUGCCUUCGUUCGGCAUCCGGACUGCGGCCUGUUCGCCGGCCACCUGGAGUCCUGCAGGGCUGCUUAGGGACAGCACGGCCCGGAGCCCACCGUGCUUCUGUCCUUGUGAGCUUCCUGUGGUUUCCAGACUUGACGGAACGCUUUGUCGUUGGCGGAGGGGGCUUUCUUCGUCUGUCUUUUAGUCUUUGUGACUUAAUCACUGCUCUUAGGUGUCAAGUCCUACGUGGCCAAAAGUGGGGCUGGUAUUAUCUGUAAGUUUGCAUUUUUUAAAAAGUUUUAAUAAUGACCAUGGACACAUCUUCACCUCAUGGGGGUUCUUAGUGCUGCCCUAUCUCAUAAUUAGAAAUCAGAGAACAGACGUGCAGGAGACAGAGCCUGGGUACACGGGGAGUCCACGGGAGGGCUUCCCCAGACCGCAGGCCUUUGCCGAGGGUGGGCUCCGCCAGCCGCCACUGCACCCCCCGCCCCGUGAGUCAGAGUUCCUUGUCUGCGGGUGAAAGAAACUGGUUUCUGGAAGGGAGCAUUGGGCAGCGGUGAGGGGCCGGUGUCAGGAUUGCUGUCCACUCUAUCGUCCUCUUCGACAUCCACGCCUCUGGACCCCCUCCACACUCGAGCUGAAGGCGAGGAGGGGUGUCGCCUUGGCCCAGCGGGAGGCUGGAGGGCGGGCUGCUCUCCUGAGGUCCCGCCGCCGGCACCGUCUGCGGUCACAGCUGGUGGCACCUCCCGGGGUGGGGGGCCCUGUCCCCCCCAGGCAGCACUUUCAGCCACACGGACUGGGUGCCCUCC